UGGGGAAUAUUGGACAAUGGAGGAAACUCUGAUCCAGCAAUUCUGUGUGUGUGAAGAAGGUUUUAGGACUGUAAAACACUUUUAGUAGGGAAGAAAAAAAUGACGGUACCUACAGAAGAAGCAACGGCUAAAUACGUGCCAGCAGCCGCGGUAAUACGUAUGUUGCGAGCGUUAUCCGGAAUUAUUGGGCUUAAAGGGCAUCUAGGCGGUAAGACAAGUUGAAGGUGAAAACCUGUGGCUCAACCAUAGGCUUGCCUACAAAACUGUUGAACUAGAGUACUGGAAAGGUGGGUGGAACUACACGAGUAGAGGUGAAAUUCGUAGAUAUGUGUAGGAAUGCCGAUGAUGAAGAUAACUCACUGGACGGAAACUGACGCUGAAGUGCGAAAGAUAGGGGAGCAAACAGG
rnacentral:rRNA from 1 species